rnacentral:rRNA from 1 species
CUGGCUCAGGACGAACGCUGGCGGCGCGCCUACCACAUGCAAGUCGAACGAAGUUUAAUUAUGAAUUCUUCGGAAGGAUUAAUGAAAGCUUAGUGGCGGACGGGUGAGUAACACGUGAGCAAUCUGCCUUACAGAGGGGGAUAGCGAUUAGAAAUGGUCGAUAAUACCCUAUGAUGCACAUUUUUCGCAUGAGAUUUGUGUUAAAAGAAUUUCGCUGUAAGAUGAGCUCGCGCCUGAUUAGACAGUUGGCGGGGUAAUGGCCCACCAAAUCUACGAUCAGUAGCCGAACUGAGAGGUUGAUCGGCCACAUUGGGACUGAGACACGGCCCAGACUCCUACGGGAGGCAGCAGUGAGGGAUAUUGCACAAUGGGGGAAACCCUGAUUGCAGCGACGUCGCGUGAGGGAAGAAGGUUUUUGGAUUGUAAACCUCUGUUUUUGAAGAAGAUGAUGACGGUAUUCAAAGAGAAAGCUCCGGCUAACUACGUGCCAGCAGCAGC